ACCUGGGUGGCUUAGUCAGUAGAGCAUGUAACUCUUGAUCACAUGGGUUGUGGGUUCAAGCCCCAUGUGGGGUA
rnacentral:tRNA from 1 species